AACAACAUUGCUUAUCUAUAUUGGGUAAUACUUACAUGUAUGCCGGUGGGAAAGUAAAACUUACAUGGAAAAGCAAAUGAUAUGUGGAAAUUGGCAGAGUUUUUUGUUUUGUAACGAAAUGCAAAUGGUUUCAUCUUGUGAACAAGUAUCAAUGAAAGACAACUUCGUAUAAUCUUCAGACUGAGGACAGUGGUGAGAUGAAAGACGUGAACUGGUAUCCGAUGUAAAUACACAUGCAUGCUCUGCUGUAAAAUCGUUUUGGUAUGUGAUUUCUUGGUUGGAUCUUGAGUACUUGUCAUGGCUCUUGAUUUUUUUGGAGUGUUCACCAUCAGAUUAGAAGUCAAAUAGUGAUACCACCAGGCAUAGUUGAAAGGAAAUGUCCAUACACAGUCUUGGAGUACAUAGUGGUAGAGACA